CGGACCUCAUAAAGUGCGUCGUAGUCCGGAUUGGAGUCUGCAACUCGACUCCAUGAAGUCGGAAUCGCUAGUAAUCGUGGAUCAGAAUGCCACGGUGAAUACGUUCCCGGGCCUUGUACACACCGCCCGUCACACCAUGGGAGUGGGUUGCAAAAGAAGUAGGUAGCUUAACCUUCGGGAGGGCGCUUACCACUUUGUGAUUCAUGACUGGGGUGAAGUCGUAACAAGGUAACCGUAGGGGAACCUGCGGUUGGAUCACCUCCUUA
rnacentral:rRNA from 1 species